rnacentral:lncRNA from 1 species
UAAACCCGUUACCUGUUCCUUUGCAGCCUACGCGUGCUGACGCAGCCACCCACCUGAACUACCAUAGAGAGAGCCUGUUCACCCUGCUGAAGACUGGGUGGGAUACGGUGUGGCAGUCUUCUCACCCGGCUGAAGACGAAACUCCACACAGACCGAAGUUUUGGAUAUCUACGCGAGUCUUCCUCUUGGUUUAACUAGAAAUAAAACUGGUCUCCGGUCAUUUAUGGGUUCAUCUCCGUGUCCUCGAGGAUGCAUCUGCCUAUGAGAGUGGUGGCUCUGUGGCUGAGGAUCUGUGCCUGUGGCUGGAAGGUUGCCAGUUCAAAUCCCACAGCUGGCAGAGGAAUCCUACUCUGUUGGGGCCCCUGAGCAAGGCCCUUCACCCCAGCUGCUCCAGGGGUGCUGUACAAUGGCUGACCCUGUGCUCUGACCCCCAGCUUCUCUCCCUGUCUGUGUGUCUCAUGGAGAGCAAGCUGGGGUCUGUGAAAAGACAAAUUCCUAAUGUACUAAAUUGUGUGUGGCUAGU